UCUGGCGAAAUAUUCACAAGAAGACGGCUCGCGUCGCUCCGCCUUUCUCUUUUUUUUUUUUUAAUACAAUCUUCGAGCGACUACAUUACACGGCGCGCGUGAUCUAAACGGAAUAUACACAGAGUGCGCGGCGUUAAAAAACUCACUGAACAGCAGCCGAAUUGAGGAUAUUCUAACAAAAUCAUCGUCCAAAAAGGGAAAGUGCGAGACAGCCAAAGCCAAGCCAGGAAGCGAGGACCUGCGAGAGAGCAAGACAGAGGAUCCGAGGGAUACAGGGUGACAUGUGGAGUCCAACGCACUGCAGUGUAACGGUGCAACGGGCGCGUGGUCUGCUGACCAAGGGCAAGAAUGGCACCAACAACUGCUUCGUCACCAUUGCUUUGGGCAAGGAGAAGUAUCAGACAUCCGUCAAGGACAAGGCCGAGACCAAUGUCAACUGGAACGAGGAGUGUGAGCUCAAAAUUCCCGAUCAGGGCAAUAGGGCUGAGCUAACGCUCACCUGCCUGCACAGAAACAACCUGGGCAUCGAUGAGUUCCUUGGCCAGGCCACGCUGCCCCUCAACGAGAUGGACGUGUAUGACAGGCCGCGCGCCAAGUGGUUCAAGCUGGAGAGCAAGCCCGGCAAGGAGAAGAAGAACAAGGAGCGCGGUGAACUGGAGGUCCGCAUUGCCUUUGUGGUCAAAUCCGGCUCACUGACCGACCUCAGUAAGAAGGACAAGCACAAGUCUUCCAUUGGCCAGCUGGCCAGCUCUGUGGGCGGCAGCCUCCUGUCCAUUGGCAAUGGCGAGAAGCGACGCAGCAUCAAGAAGCUGGCCGGUUCGCUCAGCUCCAAAUUGCACAUUCGCAGCAAGAAGAAACAGGAGGCUGGCGGCGAUGAUAGCAGCUCCUUUGGCGGCUCUUUUGCCAGCCUCGGGACACCCAAUAGCUCAGCGGGCAGGGGCCAAAACGGCGGAGGCAGUGGCCGGCGACGAGGUGGCCAGCGGGCAGGCGAGGCCGAUCCCGGUGUGAUUAGCGAGGACGAGGAUGAGUUUGUCUUUGAUAAUCUAUCGCACAAGAGCUCCGGCAGUUCGCUAAACAUCCAACGAUCUGGUCUUCAGCCACCGCCAGCAACAGUAGCCGGGACGCCAAAUUUUGCGCCGCGCCAUCCAUCGCCCUUGCUGAGCAACGGCAACGGCGUGGUCAUCGGUGGCGGCGGCAGCGGGAAAGGUAAGCCAACGGUUUUACCAGCAACCCUCGAUGAGGAUGCGCCCAUCGAUGCAGAGAUGGAACAGCUUGAGAUCGAUUUCAGUGUACGUGCCCGCGCCAGCAGCAGCAGCACCCUGCCGCCUCCCUCGAAGCCGCCACGCAUUCCCUCCUCGCCGUCGUCUUUGUCGUCGCAGGUGGAGCAGCAGGAGGCGGAGCGAGAAAAGCCAAAGGAGAAGCCGCCAGUAGAGCCGGAUAGCAGCAAGGAUGAGUGGGCAUCGAAAUUGUAUGGCGGCGGCAAGUAUCUGGAAAUUGGUAGCAGUGAUUCCCUGAAACGUCGCAGCUGGGAGGCCAGAGUGCCAUUGCCCGCCAGUGUGGAAGAGCCGCCACCAGUGCCACCCACCUCCAGCUCUUCGUCCAGUUCCAGCUCGGACAGUGAUGAGGAGGAUGAGGACUUGGAGCAGCCACCGCGGGCAGCUCCUCCACCAGUACCCGUAGCAGCUUCCAUUAUUGCUACUGUUAAAGCUUCUACUCCCGCUGCAGCUCCGGCUGCUGCUCCUGUUCCUGCUCCAACUGCUGUAACCUCCUCGUCACUCUUCUCACCCGACGUGGAGCAUCGCAAUUUCGAUACCUUCAAUGCCAGCUUCGCCAAGUACGAGCAACGCAACAGCACUGCCAUCUUUGCAGAUGAGCCUGUGCUGGAGGAGCUGGAUCUUGAGCCGGAGAAACCGAUGGCGUUGCCUACACCCACAGCACGUCCCAAGCCCCAGCCCAGGGUAAUGCCCGAUCUGAGGGCUGAGGAGGAGAAGGCCAGAGAAGAGGCUGCCCGGCAGCAGCGGGCCGAGGAAGAUGCUCGCCUGGAGGAGGAACUGCGUCUAAAUGAGCAGCGACUGCAUGAGGAGGAGGCUGCCCUGCAGCGAGAGCUAGAGGAGGAGGCCAAAGAGCGGCAACAACUGGAGGAGCAGCGGCGGCGUGAGACCAAGCGAUGGGAGGAGGACCAGCGUCUGCUAAGCUUUGCCACGCGCUCCGCAUCCCUCGAGGAGCCACCAGCAGCAGUAGCUGCGCCGGCGGCCACUCAACGGGAAAUGGUAGAGGAGCCGGAGGAGGUUGAACUGGCUGAGCCAGAGCACAACUUCCUUACGCCCGAGCAGUCGCCCAAGGAGUUCCAGACGAAUGGCAACGGCGGGGAGAAGCGGCUGGGCAAGUUCAAAUACGGCAACAAGCGAGAUAAAUACAACAAUGACAACGAGAGCAACUCGCCCAGUCCCAAGUCCACGGAGCGGAUUAUUAUUGGCCACGAAAAGUCUGGAUCGCAUGCCGAGCGACGCUCGGAGAUAUCCGCCCAGCUGGCCAAGAAAUACGAGGGCAAGUCCCGGGAGGAACUAAUGCUUAUAGCCAAUGGCAUGGAGAAUGAGGCUUUGCUGCAGCGGCAGCGUGUCAAGGAACUGGAGGAUUAUCUGGACAAUUUGCUGCUGCGCGUUAUGGAAACGCAUCCAAAGAUUCUACAGAAUCCCUACUCGCGCACCACAUCCGCCAAGAGUUAUAAAAAUUACAUCAAUAUGAAUGACUUUCUAAAGUAAGUGCUGUGCAUGGCUGCUGCAAUUUGCAUUUAAGUAGAAAAUGUUUAUAAAAAGAAAACACUUAAUUCAACAAUUCACCAACAACAACAACAACAACUACGACAUCACCAACAACAACACAACAACAAGUAAAGCUAAUGUGAAGACAAGCAGAAAUAAAAGAAGGAAGAAACUACUAAAAGAAGCUGCUACGAACGGUUAAAAAACAAAAAAAAAACAGCCAAACUUGUCAGCGUCACCAACUUGAUAUACAACUUGUCACACACACAGCCUCUCGCCAGAGGAGGAGGAGGAGGAGCUAAAGACGCUGCUGGAGGAGAUCAAACACCAUGUUGCCUUUGUCGUGAACAGCGAAAUUCAAGUGCUUUCUAAAUCGUAAUAACUAAGAAGAGUGGGGAGGUGGGUUGAAACCACUCCAAAAUCGUACACUUAAGGGGUGCAAAAAUUUAAUGGUAUGUUCAUCGAACUCCCCCUCCCCCCUCCCCGAUUAUUCCCCUUACUAAACUGAACUACAUUAAUUAUACUAUAUAUAUAUAUAUUAAUAUAAAUGCAAUGUGUAUCGUUGCAUUAUCGAUUGGUUCUCGAGUCCUUUUUAUCGAUUGAUUGAAAUUAUCCAAAAGUAUUUUGUUUGUUUUUUUUUUUUUUAAAUUCAAAAUGUCCCUUUUUUUUGUGUAAUAUUUGUUGUGCAAAAAGAAUAAGAGAAGAUGUUUGAUGAGAAGAUGUUUUUUGUAAAUCGCCAGACUGGCCUUAGUUAAUUAAGUUUUAAAUUAUUUAUGUUUUAGCUGUUAAGCAAACAGGGGGACACACAAUAUGUUGAUAUACUACAAUGAUUUUACUUAUUGAUAUACACACCCAAAACCCAAAACCAGAAUAAAAAAACAUUUUUAACAUUAA